rnacentral:miRNA from 15 species
CGUGUAUUUGAUAAACUGAAUU